rnacentral:rRNA from 1 species
UACAGAGGUCUCAAGCGUUGUUCGGAUUCAUUGGGCGUAAAGGGUGCGUAGGCGGCGCGGUAAGUCGGGUGUGAAAUCUCGGAGCUUAACUCCGAAACUGCAUUCGAUACUGCCGUGCUUUGAGGACUGGAGAGGAGACUGGAAUUUACGGUGUAGCGGUGAAAUGCGUAGAUAUCGUAAGGAAGACCAGUGGCGAAGGCGGGUCUCUGGACAGUUCC